GGAAGGAUCAUUAUUGCACUGUAACAAGUCUCUGAUGUGUGUUUCUGGAUGCGGAUUUUUCGAAUUGUUCUGGUUGGAAUGUUUUACAAUCAUGAGUCCAAGCAAUGGAUAUCUUGGUUCCCACAACGAUGAAGAACGCAGCGAAAUGCGAUACGUAAUGUGAAUUGCAGGGUUAAGUGAAUCAUCAAAUGUUUGAACGCAAGUUGCGCCGCUUCGGCGGCAUGCUUCUUUGAGUGUCGGUUUCCUUGUUGGGCGAUUUGACUAUAAUUGUCUUUGUAUGCUUGUGAGCGUCGGUUGAAAGACGGGGCGCGCACUGAAAGGAACAACAUCUGUUUCACAAUAGCAUCGGACCUCAAAUGAAGUAAGACCACCCGCUGAAUUUAAGCAUAUAAUUAAGCGGAGGAAAAGAAACUAACGAGGAUUCCCUCAGUAACGGCGAGUGAAGCGGGAAGAGUUCAAACCUGGAAUCGCGUGCCAACGCGAAUUGUGGUGUGUAGACGCGUGCCUCAGCGGCUGUGCCGGUGGAAGUCGAUUGGAAAAUCGCAUCAGAGAGGGUGAAAAUCCCGUUCGACACUGGACUCGCAGUCGCGUUCGAGCCGUCGUUUUCGAGUCGGGUUGCUUGGGAGUGCAGCCCUAAGUGGGUGGUAAAUUCCAUCUAAAACUAAAUAUGUGUGGGAGACCGAUAGCGAACAAGUACCGUGAGGGAAAGAUGAAAAGAACUUUGAAAAGAGAGUAAAAAGUACUUGAAAUUGUUUGGAUUGAAGGGAUGACGCUCAGUCGGUCAGGAUGGCUUGGCGGCGGGCUUGCUGCGCGUCGGGGUAGGUAGCUGGCCUCUUGCAGGCCAGUGUUUGGCCCGGCGCGCAGAGUCCGGCGGCGAGCGAGGUCGCGGAUAGAUCCUGACGAAAUGGGCGUCAUUCACCCGUCUUGAAACACGGACCAAGGAGUCUUACAUGUCUGCGAGUGUUAGCGUGACUAAGCGUUAUCGCGCAAUGAAAGUGAAUUCGUUCAAACGAGGGCGACUACGGUACGACCCCGAGCAUACAUGCAGGGACCCGAAAGAUGGUGAACUAUGCCUGGGCAGGAUGAAGCCAGGGGAAACUCUGGUGGAGGUCCGAAGCGAUACUGACGUGCAAAUCGUUCGUGUGAGCUGGGUAUAGGGGCGAAAGACUAAUCGAACCGUCUGGUAGCUGGUUCCCUC
rnacentral:misc_RNA from 1 species